rnacentral:rRNA from 1 species
UGGCAGGUACANCGGGAAGCCAUAUGGCGACAUAGAGCGGAACCCGAAAACCUGUCUCAGUUCGGAUUGGAGUCUGCAACCCGACUCCAUGAAGCUGGAUUCGCUAGUAAUCGCGCAUCAGCCACGGCGCGGUGAAUACGUUCCCGGGCCUUGUACACACCGCCCGUCAAGCCAUGGGAGCCGGGGGUACCUGAAGUGCGUGACCGCAAGGAGCGCCCUAAGGUAAAACCGGUGACUGGGGCUAAGUCGUAACAAGGUAGC